rnacentral:RNase_P_RNA from 1 species
CGAGGAGACCAGGGGAUCGCUCGCGGCCUCGUGCCGUGAGAGGAAAGUCCGAGCUCCACAGGGCAGAGCGCCGGGUAAUUCCCGGUCGAGGCGACUCGGAGGAAAGUGCAACAGAGAGCAGACCGCCGCGGUCGGGUCCCUGAGCUUCGGCGAGGGGGUCCAUCAGACCUACGGUGAGGGUGAAAGGGUGCGGUAAGAGCGCACCGGCGCCUCCGGUGACGGGGGCGGCCAGGCAAACCCCGCUCGGAGCAAGACCAAAUAGGGGAGCACAUCGGGCGGCCCGUCCGCGCUCCCGGGUCGGUCGCUAGAGGCCGUCGGUAACGGCGGUCCAAGAUGAAUGAUCUCCACCUCCGCGAGGGCGACCAGACGGGGGCACAGAACUCGGCUUACGGGCUCACUCGGACC